rnacentral:rRNA from 1 species
GGUUAAGCGACUAAGCGUACACGGUGGAUGCCCUGGCAGUCAGAGGCGAUGAAGGACGUGCUAAUCUGCGAUAAGCGUCGGUAAGGUGAUAUGAACCGUUAUAACCGGCGAUUUCCGAAUGGGGAAACCCAGUGUGAUUCGUCACACUAUCAUUAACUGAAUCCAUAGGUUAAUGAGGCGAACCGGGGGAACUGAAACAUCUAAGUACCCCGAGGAAAAGAAAUCAACCGAGAUUCCCCCAGUAGCGGCGAGCGAACGGGGAGCAGCCCAGAGCCUGAAUCAGUGUGUGUGUUAGUGGAAGCGUCUGGAAAGGCGUGCGAUACAGGGUGACAGCCCCGUACACAAAAAUGCACAUACUGUGAGCUCGAUGAGUAGGGCGGGACACGUGGUAUCCUGUCUGAAUAUGGGGGGACCAUCCUCCAAGGCUAAAUACUCCUGACUGACCGAUAGUGAACCAGUACCGUGAGGGAAAGGCGAAAAGAACCCCGGCGAGGGGAGUGAAAAAGAACCUGAAACCGUGUACGUACAAGCAGUGGGAGCACGCUUAGGCGUGUGACUGCGUACCUUUUGUAUAAUGGGUCAGCGACUUAUAUUCUGUAGCAAGGUUAACCGAAUAGGGGAGCCGAAGGGAAACCGAGUCUUAACUGGGCGUUAAGUUGCAGGGUAUAGACCCGAAACCCGGUGAUCUAGCCAUGGGCAGGUUGAAGGUU